GAAACUGGAUAAUAGUCAAAUUCUCUUUUCCUUGAAGGAAACCUGCUGCUGUUUAUGAAUGCUGCCAAUGUGGACAUAUUCACUUCCAUGUAUCAGUGAGGAUUCACUCCAUUUAGUCUACGUUCUUUUCAGAUGUGGAAGAGCAAACAAUAGGAGGACAUCCGGCCCAACCAUUUUCAUCUAAGAGAAACUCUAUGAAAAUCCCGUAAGGUAGAACCAACAAAGUCUAAAACACUAUCAGUGGGAGUGAUUUAUCAUGGCAACUGUCGACUUAAAACUUUCAAGUAAAGAAACGCUUGUUUUACUGACCUACAAGUAGGAGAAUAAUUUCAAGGCUGGAAGCUAGAACCUUCAGAAUCCAGAAAAAUCCCCAGGCCUGAUAUGUAAGCUGUAGCCAAAGAAACAGAUCACAGGCCACACUAAAAUUGUGAACUUCAUGGCAAUUGCUCCAGUCCCACCUGCUCCAGAUACCUAAAUCAUGAAGGCUUACUAGCAAACCUGUUUCUGGAUAUCUGCUAUUGGAUAACAAACUACGGGGAAACCUAGUGACUUAUUACCGUGGAUUAUUGCCCCUCGUGUUUCUUUCACAAAUGGUGGAAAACAGCAAGUGGAAAAGGCUAGUUCACCAAAGCGAAAGAUUAUAAUAUGACAAUCUGAAAGGCAGCAGAAAGCAGAUGGAGGUCACCAGUGUCGGUCUCAACACUUCAGCUGCACUGGAUGGGAUCCUGUUGCAUCCCCCAGUGUCACAGGAAUGUGGCAAAGAAUGUUGAAACAAUGAACAACAAAUAUAUAAAACAUUUAAGUA
rnacentral:lncRNA from 1 species